rnacentral:sRNA from 1 species
AGACAUUGGCGCUGGUGACCACCGUCAAAGGGUUCUGGUACUGCGCCGGGAUGUUCGCU